GCGCCGGUGGUGUAAGGCGAACACCACUGCCCGGAAAGCAGAAGAUGCGGGUUCGAGUCCCGCCUGGCGAA
rnacentral:tRNA from 1 species